GAUGAACGCUGGCGGCGUGCCUAAUACAUGCAAGUCGAGCGAACGGACGAGAAUCUUGCGUCUCUGUUGUUAGCGGCGGACGGGAGAGUAACACGUGUAUAACCUACCUAUAAGACUGGGAAAAUUUCGGGAAACCGGAGAUAAUCCCGGAGAAGAUUUUGAACCGCAGGGUGCAAAGGAGAAAGACGGUGUUGCGGGCAGUUAUAGAGGGAUCCGCGCUGCAUUAGCUAGUUGGUAAGGUAACGGCUUACCAAGGCAACGAGGCAUAGCCGAAGUGCGAGGGGGAUAGGCCACACUGGAGCUGAACCACGGACAAGGCUCCUACGAGAGGCCGCAGUAUGCUACCUUCGGCAAUGGGCGGAAGCCUGGCGGAGCAACGCCACGUGUGUGAUGGCGGUCUUCGGAUCGUAAAACUCUGUUAUUGGGGAAGAACAUAUGUGUACGUAGCUGUGCCCAGCGUGACGGUACCUAGUCAGGAAGCCCCGGCUAACUACGUG
rnacentral:rRNA from 1 species